GUGCUCACUUUGGCAGCACAUCCUAAAACAAUGCAAUACAGAGAAGAUUAGCACGGCCCUUGCACAAGGAUGACACACAAAUUCAUGAAGCAUUCCAUGUUUUU